UAUAUAUAUAUAUAUAUAUAUAUAUAUAUAUAUAUAUAUUGUAUUGUGAUUGUAUGAUGUAUUGAAGUAAUUAUUUCCCAUUUAGAAAAAAAAUAGUUAAUAAUCAAGAGAGGUCUGGUUUCGUAACAAAGAUUUACCAAAUUCAUCAACGUAAUAUUUCUGCUUUACAUCUGACUACAAUGAUUAUUUUUAUUGGCAUUUAGCACCAACAAUGGCAAAAAAUUGGCCUUACGUAAAUCAUUCAUUUAGAGAAACAACUUUAAGGUAUUGGCUGGCUGUACCUGACGACUUACCUUCCUGCAAUGAAAUUAAAAGAACAAAAACUUUCAAUAUUGAUUAGUCUAUUAAAAUGUUAUUGUCCUUUUUA
rnacentral:lncRNA from 1 species